UGCCAGCCGCCGCGGUAAUACGAAGGGUGCUAGCGUUGUUCGGAAUUACUGGGCGUAAAGCGCGCGUAGGCGGCUAUUCAAGUCAGAGGUGAAAGCCCGGGGCUCAACCCCGGAACUGCCUUUGAAACUAGAUAGCUAGAAUAUGGGAGAGGUGAGUGGAAUUCCGAGUGUAGAGGUGAAAUUCGUAGAUAUUCGGAGGAACACCGGUGGCGAAGGCGGCUUUCUGGACCGAUACUGACGCCGAGACGCGAAAGCGUGGGGAGCAAACAGGAUUAGAUA
rnacentral:rRNA from 1 species